AUACCUUUCUCGGUCUUUUAGCUAAGAUCAAGUGUAGUAUCUGUUCUUAUCAGUUUAAUAUCUGAUAGGUGGGCCAUGUGCCCACUAUUUGAUAUUAAAUUUAUUUUUUAUGGGGGGAGAGUUCACUGUAGUGGCUUGCCAUUGGAACCCUCGUGUGUCGCUCAAGCGUUGCACUAUAGCAUGAGCCUGACAUACCCCAA
rnacentral:snRNA from 1 species